GGACAGGCCAUAGCUCAGUGGUAAAGGCCAUGUUUUGCAUGCAGAAGGUUCCAGGUUCAAUCCCUGCUGUUUCCA